AUGGACCGACAGCUGUUGAGGAGGUGGUCCAAAACAGCCGAAAGGCUUCCCCUUAAGAUAUUUUUAAAAAUCAUGACCAGAAUUGUCAAAAAUGUGGAGCAAUAUACAGGCAUCCUCAUAUAUGGCACCAGCAAUGACCGUGAGCUCCUGAAUUGGCAAGUUCAGUUCCAAGGCCUGGGAAAAGCCAGGGACAAUCAUAUGAGACAAAAAGAAACACGUGGCCAAGCAUCCCAGCACAACAAUCAGGCCUUAAUGAUCAGUGCCUUUCGCCUCCCACCAUGA
rnacentral:lncRNA from 13 species